AGGUCUUCAAUAAGUAUUUGUUGAAAGAAUAAAUGAACUAACAAGUCUUAUUUGAGCACCUGUUAUG
rnacentral:pre_miRNA from 1 species